UACGUAGGCAGCAAGCGUUGUUCGGAAUUACUGGGCGUAAAGAGUGUGUAGGCGGUGCUCUAAGUUCGGUGUGAAAUCUCCCGGCUCAACCGGGAGGGUGCGCCGGAAACUGGGGUGCUGGAGCGCGGGAGAGGAAAGCGGAAUUCCUGGUGUAGCGGUGAAAUGCGUAGAUAUCAGGAGGAACACCGGCGGUGUAGACGGCUUUCUGGACCGUAGCUGACGCUGAGACACGAAAGCGUGGGUAGCAAACAGG
rnacentral:rRNA from 1 species